rnacentral:rRNA from 1 species
UACGAAGGGGGCUAGCGUUGCUCGGAAUUACUGGGCGUAAAGCGCACGUAGGCGGCUUUCUAAGUCGGGGGUGAAAUCCUGGAGCUCAACUCCAGAACUGCCUUUGAUACUGAGGAUCUUGAGUUCGGGAGAGGUGAGUGGAACUGCGAGUGUAGAGGUGAAAUUCGUAGAUAUUCGCAAGAACACCAGUGGCGAAGGCGGCUCACUGGCCCGAUACUGACGCUGAGGCACGAAAGCGUGGGGAGCAAACGGGG